rnacentral:rRNA from 1 species
CCUACGGGGGGCAGCAGUUAGGAAUAUUGGUCAAUGGACGAGAGUCUGAACCAGCCAAGUAGCGUGAAGGAUGACUGCCCUAUGGGUUGUAAACUUCUUUUAUAUGGGAAUAAAAUGUUCCACGUGUGGGAUUUUGUAUGUACCAUAUGAAUAAGGAUCGGCUAACUCCGUGCCAGCAGCCGCGGUAAUACGGAGGAUCCGAGCGUUAUCCGGAUUUAUUGGGUUUAAAGGGAGCGUAGGUGGAUUGUUAAGUCAGUUGUGAAAGUUUGCGGCUCAACCGUAAAAUUGCAGUUGAAACUGGCAGUCUUGAGUACAGUAGAGGUGGGCGGAAUUCGUGGUGUAGCGGUGAAAUGCUUAGAUAUCACGAAGAACUCCGAUUGCGAAGGCAGUUCACUGGACUGCAACUGACACUGAGGCUCGAAAGUGUGGGUAUCAAACAGGAUUAGAUACCCGAGUAGUC